GACCGCUUAUAGAUUCAUAUGUUCGUCUUCUUCUUCUUUCUGUAAUCAGAGCAACCGACGGUAUAGAUUCUGGAUGCAACCGUUACGGAAUGCAUUGAUGUGAUGCCAUUGACGACUCUUAACUCCUUAGCCCCACUCCAUCCACGAUAAAUCAUUCAUUGCAUCUUAACUCUCAUAAAGGCGGUGGAACUUGAUCUAUAAAAAGACAAUCGAUCUCUGGUUCUAUCUCAGACCAUCGUUUGCGGAGGAUUAUAAUGACCGGACUCUUGCUGUCAUGUCUCGAUUGCAUAGAGUUUGAGAUAUGCGGAGCUUAGACGUGGCCGUGUUACUGAACAAAGGAAGAGUAACGCAACGGGAGUCCAGCAGACUAAAAGAAGCACUCUUGGAGAGGCGGAGGCCGAGAACAAUAUUAGCUGCGAGAAUUUUGAAAUAUCAAAAAGUAAACCUUCAAGAGAAUCAGUUAGAAAGGUAGUUUGUGAAGAAGAGAAGGAAGUUAUGUUGCUUGGUAAUGAUAGUUGUUGUGGCUCUUACAAGGCGGUUGCACAUGAAAAAGACGGAGAUAAUGCUCUUUUCCCUGAAAGUGAUGACAACAGUUCAAUAUGGUACGGGAACGAACUACUAUGGGCACCUUCGUCGCCACAAAAACUGAAGGUUGGUAUUGUUCUCUCCAAAAGUCAAGUACCUGGUGGGCGCACUGUCAUACAUGGACCAUGUGAUGAGUCAAAACCUUAUACUACACCAACUACUCGCUCCAUAUCUCUCUGUCUUAAGAGUUAGGACUCGAGAGUCAUCUCCUAAAAGAUUCUUAAGAGCGGAGUAGCAGAUUACUCAUAUUUUGCUCUUUUUAGAAGUUUAAAUUUGAUGUUAAGAUUCGAGUAUCAGUGUCUUACACUACAAGAAAACAUCGGUAUUCUC